rfam:Macrostomum lignano uti_cns_0012742, whole genome shotgun sequence.
GGGGUUGUAGCUUAGUGGUUAGAGCGUCGGACUCACGACUUGUAGGUCGUCGGUUCGAUUCUCGAUCUCA